AUGAAAAUUACAUUUACAUGUAGUCAUAUAGCAGACACUUCUAUCCAAAGCAACUUACAAACUGUAGGACAAAUUUAGAUUAGAUAAGCUAGUGUUAAUUAAUUAAUUUAUUUUUAAAACAAGCUGUUAGUAAAUAAAUAGAGUGCAAGUCUAAAAGGGGCAUGCUUUUUUGUUUUGUUUUUAAGAAUAGUGCCAGAGAUAGAGGGUCAAAUAAAGUUGGAAGGGAAGUGUUUUUAGCUGAUUUCAAGAUGACUAAGGACUGCUCGGAUUGAGUUGGGCAGGUCAUUCCACCAGGAGGGAACAUUUCAUUUAAAAGUCUGUGAAAGUGAUUUUGUGCCUCUUUGAGAUGGCACAAUAAAGCGCCGUUCACUUGCAGAAUGCAAGCUUCUAGAGGGUGAAUUUAGGUGAAGGGAUGCAGAGCUAGGCAAACAUUAAUACAUAGAAUGUUAUGGCAGCAGCUAUCGGUAGCCAAUGCAAACUGAUAAACAGAGUUGUGGCAUGCAUUCUUUUUGGUUCUUCAGGCUUAUUUGAAAACGACAUGAUAUGUGUGUCAGAGCAGGGUUGGAGCAAAACUCUGCAGUUAUCCGGCCCUUGAGGGAAUUGAGUUUGACACCCCUGCUCCACAGCAGCAUUUUUUGUACCUCCUAAGGAGACUGACUGGUUACUGUAAUAUCUAAUAAAGUUGUUUUCCUCCGGAA